rnacentral:rRNA from 1 species
AUUGAACGCUAGCGGGAUGCCUUACACAUGCAAGUCGAACGGCAGCGCGGACUUCGGUCUGGCGGCGAGUGGCGAACGGGUGAGUAAUGUAUCGGAACGUGCCCAGUAGCGGGGGAUAACUACUCGAAAGAGUAGCUAAUACCGCAUGCGACCUGAGGGUGAAAGUGGGGGACCGCAAGGCCUCAUGCUAUAGGAGCGGCCGAUGUCUGAUUAGCUAGUUGGUGGGGUAAAGGCCUACCAAGGCGACGAUCAGUAGCUGGUCUGAGAGGACGAUCAGCCACACUGGGACUGAGACACGGCCCAGACUCCUACGGGAGGCAGCAGUGGGGAAUCUUGGACAAUGGGCGAAAGCCUGAUCCAGCAAUGCCGCGUGUGUGAAGAAGGCCUUCGGGUUGUAAAGCACUUUUGUCCGGAAAGAAAUGGCUCUGGUUAAUACCUGGGGUCGAUGACGGUACCGGAAGAAUAAGCACCGGCUAACUUCGUGCCAGCCGCCGCGGUAA